UUGCCAACCCUAUUGUCAGUUUAUUAUUGCUUAUUUAGGUUUAGUAUGUAUAUUGUAUAUUGAUUCAAAAAUAUAAUUAACAGCUAUCUCAAGUCAUGGCGAAGCAAUUAAAGGAUACGACACAGAAGCAAGCUCAAAAACUGACCAACACGAUGGCGCUCUAACUCCUGAAACACACCACACAGACGUCGGACAUAUUUUAAUUCAGAAAUAAAUAUGUCUUAAAGC